CCUACGGGAGGCAGCAGUGAGGAAUAUUGGUCAAUGGGCGCGAGCCUGAACCAGCCAAGUCGCGUGAGGGAUGACGGCCCUACGGAUUGUAAACUUCUUUUGUCGGGGAGCAAAAGACGCCACGUGUGGCGUUCCGAGUAUACCCGAAGAAAAAGCAUCGGCUAACUUCCUGCCACCAGCCGCGGGAAUACGGAGGAUGCCAGCGUUAUCCGGAUUUAUUUGGAUUUAAGGGUGCGCAGGAGGAAGCGCAAGUCAGCGGUAACAUUGUGAGGUUCAACCUCGUUGUGCCGUUGAAACUGGUUUUCUUGAGUGAGCGAGAAGUAUGCGGAAUGCGUGGUGUAGCGGUGAAAUGCAUAGAUAUCACGCAGAACUCCGAUUGCGAAGGCAGCAUACCGGCGCUCAACUGACGCUGAUGCACGAAAGUGUGGGUAUCGAACAGGAUUAGAUACCCGUGUAGUC
rnacentral:rRNA from 1 species